AACAAGCAAAAACACAACCGCAAGUUAUGCCCGUGCUGUGCCUCUAGCGGCAAAGACAAGCGGUGUGGGGCUUUGGAUGCGUCUACACUUCUCGUCGGGGGAGAAAGGGGAAACGUCUGUUCAUCAAGGCAAACUUGUGAAUUGCUUCUUCUACGGAGUACUUAGUCUGCCCGGAAACACAUGCCUCGAUGUCUUCUGAAUUCAGAUGGCUUUGCAGGAAGAGGUGAAGGCUGCUAUCUGAAAGCAGAAGUGCAUUCUGUAGGACCCUACGUAAAAGAAAAAAGGAGACAUGACCAGUGGACGGGGAUGGACAAUUAUAGGGUGGGAAAGAGAAAAAACAUUAGAAAUGUGCCACUGAAGUAAUUUCUCUACUAUGGCAAACUUGGCAUCAAUUGUGACUCUUCCUAUUAAAGGGAUGAAAGCAUAUGUUAACUUUUAUUCGAUUAUUUGGAAAUUUAGGUGAGUAAAAACAUGAAACUAAUAGUUAAGAACAUCUGUUAAAAGAAUAACUUCAAGGACAUUUCUUCAGUUUAACCAUCUGUUGUGACCAUGUGGAUUAAUUAUGGAAAUAUUUUGCUUAGAUAGUCACAGAAAUUUAUUCUGCUUUUAAAAAAUUUACUGCCAACCAGCAUGCCAAUUCUGUGAUCUUUAUUGGCUAGGCUGUCAUGAAACAUCAAAACUUUCAACGACUAUUAAAAACUAUAUUGAAAAGUCAAUAGAUUUCUCAGCAUGUCUUACAUUUUCAAACUUUACGAGGAUGCUUAUAUACACGUUCACAAGGGCUCGCUGCGAGGUGGCUUUUUUGAAUACUUAAAAUUGACUGGAAAUUUCUAUAAAAUCUUCAGCAGCACUGCGUAUCUAUUUUAAAAUGAGUCCCUAAAUAAAAUUGCUCCCAGCCAAUUUUACCAUAUAUGUAAUUAAAGUAUGAUAAUUUUGUAAUAAGUACAUACUAGCCUUCCCACAUGCAAGAUCAAAGUUUACAAAGAGAGUACAAAUUUCAGCAGGUGCAUCAGAACUACAUGGAGAAUGAAAAACUGCCCUGUAGCAAAAUCUGCACGUGCUCAAAUUCAUAUUAGCAGUGAAUGUGUCUUUUUCUGAAAUGCAUUAUUUAUAUUUAAAUAAAAACUGGUUUUCUCUUUUUAGCAAA